rnacentral:rRNA from 1 species
AUUGAACGCUGGCGGCAGGCCUAACACAUGCAAGUCGAGCGGAUGAGGAGAGCUUGCUCUUUGAUUCAGCGGCGGACGGGUGAGUAAUGCCUAGGAAUUUGCCUGGUAGUGGGGGACAACGUUUCGAAAGGAACGCUAAUACCGCAUACGUCCUACGGGAGAAAGUGGGGGAUUUUCGGACCUCACGCUAUCAGAUGAGCCUAGGUCGGAUUAGCUAGUUGGUGAGGUAACGGCUCACCAAGGCGACGAUCCGUAACUGGUUUGAGAGGAUGAUCAGUCACACUGGAACUGAGACACGGUCCAGACUCCUACGGGAGGCAGCAGUGGGGAAUAUUGGACAAUGGGCGAAAGCCUGAUCCAGCCAUGCCGCGUGUGUGAAGAAGGCCCUCGGGUCGUAAAGCACUUUAAGCUGGGAGGAAGGGUUGUAACCUAAUACGUUGCAAUUUUGACGUUAAAAGCAGAAUAAGCACCGGCUAACUCUGUG